rnacentral:lncRNA from 1 species
UGAAUGCUAAUGAGGUAACCUUCGAGAAAGCUUUGAUACUACUACAGGGCGAUGUAACUCAGGUUGGACGCCCAAAGCAGAGCGAUGUAACUAAGAUUCGACGCCCAAAGCGCAAAAAAAGUGGUUAGACAAGGCUGUGUGAGCAUGCACAUGCCUAUAUACAUAUUAUCUGCGACGCAAAUAUUUAUGAUAUUUCCAUUUUUGCCCCUCUUUUUUUGGAACUGUUUUCCUGCUAUACAACAUCGGUACAUAAAAAGAGUCGAUUUUUCGUAGGUCUAGAGAUAUAGGUCCUUGCGCUCAUUUUUGUUGGCAACAAAUUUUGAAGUGUAAUUUUUUCAUUUAAUUUGUAUUAAUGAAGGAUUGUAGAAUUUUUCUUAGAAGCCCUUUUGUUUGUACAAUAACAUCUAUUGAUAGAAGACGAUACAGAUAAACCUCUAUAAAUUAAUACAUCCAGAACAAGUGAACUUCUAUUGAUUUAGCGAAAUAUUAAAUUGUUGAAUUAAUAAUUUAAUACAUAUUCACCGAGUCGGCACCAAGAGAAAUUAUUAUUUAAGUGAAGUCCUCAGCAUCUCCAUAAAUUGCUAUCUUUAACACCCCAAUCUAG